rnacentral:rRNA from 1 species
ACGCUGGCGGCGUGCCUAAUACAUGCAAGUCGAACGCAUCUAGCAAUAGAUGAGUGGCGAACGGGUGAGUAAGACAUACGCAACCUAGCCUUUUGAGGGGGAUAACUGCUGGAAACGGCAGCUAAGACCGCAUAGGCAUAUUGAUCGCAUGAAAGAUAUGUUAAAUAUCCUACGGGAUAGCGAGGGGAUGGGCUUAUGACGCAUUAGCUAGUUGGAGGGGUAACGGCCCACCAAGGCGACGAUGCGUACCCGGCCUGAGAGGGUGGACGGCCACACUGGGACUGAGACACGGCCCAUACUCCUACGGGAGGCAGCAGUAUGGAAUUUUCGGCAAUGGACGAAAGUCUGACCGAGCAACGCCGCGUGAGGGAGGAAGUACUUCGGUAUGUAAACCUCUGUUAUAAAGGAAGAACGGUAUAAUCAGGGAAUGGGUUAUAAGUGACGGUACUUUACGAGGAAGCCACGGCUAACUACGUGCCAGCAGCCGCGGUAAUACGUAGGUGGCGAGCGUUAUCCGGAAUCUUUGGGCGUAUAGAGGGAGCAGGCGGCCGCAAGGGUCUGCGGUGAAAGAC